GAGUCUUCUUUAUAGUUUUGUAAAUAACUUGUUUGGUUUUUUCAUGCUUGCUGUCGGGUUGGAUGCAACACCACCUCUUAAAGUCUCCCCUCUUUGUGGUGUGUGCGAUACCAAGAUUUAAUCUUCCCACUUUUUUCUCUAUCUAGCUGUGACCCAGGUUUUUCAAUAUUUGGUUCGAAAGGACCAGGAAGGGGGCUAAGUAAAGAUCUUAAAAAGAAGGAAUGAAGGCGCUAUCGGGAAAAGAAAUGCUCUAAUCAAGCUCAAUCUCACCUAAGCCG
rnacentral:lncRNA from 1 species